AUUGAACGCUGGCGGCAGGCCUAACACAUGCAAGUCGAACGAGUGGCGGACGGGUGAGUAAUGUCUGGGAAACUGCCCGAUGGAGGGGUAUAACUACUGGAAACGUUAGCUAAUACCGCAUACCAUCGGAUGUGCCCAGAUGGGAUUAUCUAGUCGGUGGGGUAAAGGCUCACCUAGGCGACGAGCCCUAGCUGGUCUGAGAGGAGGAACCUCCACACUGGAACUGAGACACUGUCCAGAAUCCGACGGGAGGCAGCAGUGGGGAAUAUUGCACAAGGGGCGCAAGCCUGAUGCAGCCAUGCCGCGUGUAGGAAGAAGGCCUUCGGGUUGUAAAGUACUUUCAGCGAGGAUGCGUUACUCGCAGAAGAAGCACCGGCUAACUCCGUGCCAGCAGCCGCGGUAAUAC
rnacentral:rRNA from 1 species